GAUUACCUGCAGCUGAACAAUGGGUUGGGGACAAUCCAAAACUCUGGCCUGGACCCUAUUUCUCUCAGUUGUAUAUAAACUGAGGAGUGGAGCACCGGCCCGCCCUACUCUCCAAAUGCUCCACUCCAGGGGCCCAUAACUAAACAUUAAUUUGUGUUGCAUACAACGCAUACUCCCCCUGGGGUUAAAUGGCAUAUGCCUCUCUGAAGAAGAGAGAGGUAAUAAAAACAGCCUCAUAUGCCACACCAUUCACUUUAUCACAAUUUGUACAAUGCUAUCAUAUCCCCUCCUAGGUGCCGGUUUUCUAAAAUAAACAGAUUUAAAUUUAUUAAACUUACUUCAUAACUAAAAUGUUUUAUUCCUAGGGGAAGUGCCUGACCGCAGAGCUGGACGGACUGCUUCGGCUCCUUUUACCUUAACAGCGGCUAAUUUACCUUUUUAUGUCCCACACCGACAUCAGCUGAUACCUGCCAGUGUGUUGACGCUGUUGGGCAUUUUAUGGAUCAAGAGUAACAAUCCUGGAGCUCCUCCUGGCUGCAGCCUGGUGUGUGGCCUUAGCAGGAGAAGCGGACAAUCUCCCAGACUUGGACAGCACAAACCAAGUACUGUGUACAUAUUGAUGGCCCAAUACUCCUGUGAUGGGAUUCCAGCAUGGUUAAAAUUUAGUAGGCCAAAAUCUCCAUGUGGCAUAUGUGUAUGUUGUGUCAGUUGAUUAGCUACAUGUAGCUAGGAUACUGUCAUCAGUGUACUGAGCAUGUGCAGGAAUGCAGGAACUGAAAUUGCAC